rnacentral:rRNA from 1 species
UACAGAGGGGGCAAGCGUUAUUCGGAAUUAUUGGGCGUAAAGGGCGCGUAGGCGGCCGUGCAAGUGGAAGGUGAAAUCCCUCGGCUCAACCGAGGAACUGCCUUUCAAACUGCAUGGCUUGAGUCCGGGAGAGGUGAGUGGAAUUCCCAGUGUAGCGGUGAAAUGCGUAGAUAUUGGGAGGAACACCAGUGGCGAAGGCGGCUCGCUGGGACGGUACUGACACUGAGGCGCGAAAGCGUGGGGAGCGAACAGG